UACAGAGGGUGCAAGCGUUGUUCGGAAUUAUUGGGCGUAAAGCGCGUGUAGGUGGCUUUGCAAGUCGGGUGUGAAAGCCCUCAGCUCAACUGAGGAAGUGCGCCCGAAACUGCAGAGCUUGAGUGCCGGAGAGGGUGGCGGAAUUCCCCAAGUAGAGGUGAAAUUCGUAGAUAUCGGGAGGAACACCAGUGGCGAAGGCGAUCACCUGGGGUUGUUCUGACGCUGAGGAGCGAAAGCUAGGGGAGCAAACGGG
rnacentral:rRNA from 1 species